rnacentral:rRNA from 1 species
UACGUAGGAUGCAAGCGUUUGUCCGGAAUUAUUGGGCGUAAAGAGCGCGCAGGCGGUAUGACAAGUCAGAUGUGAAAGAGGCCGGCUUAACCGGCAAGGGUCAUUUGAAACUGUCAGACUAGAGUGCAGCAGAGGAUAGUGGAAUUCCCGGUGUAGUGGUGAAAUGCGUAGAUAUCGGGAGGAACACCAGUGGCGAAGGCGACUAUCUGGGCUGCAACUGACGCUGAGGCGCGAAAGCGUGGGGGAGCAAACAGG